rnacentral:rRNA from 1 species
AUUGAACGCUGGCGGCAGGCCUAACACAUGCAAGUCGAGCGGGGUUUUCGGACCUAGCGGCGGACGGGUGAGUAAUGCGUAGGAAGCUGCCCGAUAGAGGGGGAUACCAGUUGGAAACGACUGUUAAUACCGCAUAAUGUCUACGGACCAAAGUGUGGGACCUUCGGGCCACAUGCUAUCGGACGCGCCUACGUGGGAUU